rnacentral:rRNA from 1 species
CACGUAGGGAGCAAGCGUUGUCCGGAUUUAUUGGGCGUAAAGAGCUUGUAGGCGGUUUGUCGCGUCUGCUGUGAAAUUUCGGGGCUCAACCCCGAACUUGCAGUGGGUACGGGCAGACUAGAGUGUGGUAGGGGAGACUGGAAUUCCUGGUGUAGCGGUGAAAUGCGCAGAUAUCAGGAGGAACACCGAUGGCGAAGGCAGGUCUCUGGGCCAUAACUGACGCUGAGAAGCGAAAGCAUGGGGAGCGAACAGG